rnacentral:pre_miRNA from 1 species
UUGGUACUCCCUCCGUCCGGAAAUACUUGUCCUAAAGAUGAAUGUAUCUAGACUUAUUUUAGUUAUAGAUACAUUCAUUAUAUUCAUUUUUAGGACAAGUAUUUCCGGACGGAGGGAGUAUAUG